GACGAACGCUGGCGGCGUGCUUAAUACAUGCAAGUCGAGCGAGGUCCAUCUGGUGGCAACACCAGUGAAGGCCGAGCGGCGAACGGGUGAGUAACACGUGAGCAACCUGCCCCGAAGUCUGGAAUAACAUCGGGAAACCGGUGCUAAUACCGGAUCGCCCCACCUGACCGCAUGAUCGGGUGAGGAAAGNUUUAUCGCUUCGGGGAGGGGCUCGCGGCCUAUCAGCAGUUGGUGGGGUAACGGCCUACCAAGGCGUCGACGGGUAGCUGGUCUGAGAGGACGACCAGCCACACUGGGACUGAGACACGGCCCAGACUCCUACGGGAGGCAGCAGUAGGGAAUCUUGCGCAAUGGGCGAAAGCCUGACGCAGCAACGCCGCGUGGGGGACGACGG
rnacentral:rRNA from 1 species